CAUCAGUUUAAUGAACUGUUUUUCAGGGACAUCUGGCUUCCCUGCCUGAGGGUGGGGAAAGGUACCAAGGAGGCAAGUACUGAGUAUCUGGAGACUCUUGGCCCUUGGGAAUGUUUCCAGGCAAAGCCAAGCUGGUUAAACAGCCAUCUGAAAUGUCACAGAUGGAAGUCUUUCCUCCUAGGAGAGGUGUUCCAUCCC